rnacentral:piRNA from 1 species
UGGACAACCUACAUGUAGACAAUAAGUCAA